rnacentral:rRNA from 1 species
GCUUACGGCCAUACCAGCCUGAAUACGCCCGAUCUCGUCUGAUCUCGGAAGCUAAGCAGGAUCGGGCCUGGUUAGUACUUGGAUGGGAGACUGCCUGGGAAACCAGGUGCUGCAAGCU